rnacentral:lncRNA from 1 species
GAAAAGUCUGUCACUAAUGUUAAAUAUGCACAAUAAUCUGUUAUCACAACAAGAAAAAUUGACAACAAAUGCAAGCAUUGGGAGAAACUUUUUUUGGAAAGUGCUGUUUAUGAAAAAAGCCUAUGCUGAUGUAAUUUUGAAGUUGUGCAAGGGGGCAAGGAAUUUAGGCGUUAAAGUACUUACACACAAACUAAUCUCAAUAUACUUCAAGAAUUAAUAACAAAAAUAACUUUCAGAAGAUUACCAAUACUUUCUUCCUGCCAUCUUCAAAAUGUUUGAAAAAUUAAUUUACUGUGGAUGAGUGAAAUAAAAACGUUGUUUAAGAAGAAUUUUUACUAAAUUUAUAAAGUGUUA